rnacentral:lncRNA from 1 species
AAAGACAGGAGGGGUUUCCACUUACGAUUCCAUUUUUAAAAGACCAGAGGGUUACAACGAAAAACUUCACCGAUGUGACAGAGAGCAUGCAAGGAGUCGUGGUCUUAACGUGAAUGAUGAGGAAAUGGCAAGACCUGUCGCUGUUUUGUCAUCUUCAGAGUAUGGGAGACGCACAGACAAGCACACAGAGCAGCAGAUCCGAAGUCAUGCAAGGAUUAAUUGUGUGCAGGCAGAAUUCUACAGGAAAAAUGGCAUCACCUGCCUAUUGGAAAAACCUUCUCCAAGACUGGAUCCGUGCUAAAAUCUCUUACAGCUGACAUUGCCAGCAGUAUUUGUGUGCACAGAAACAUGUCAAAAUGCAAAAUAGUGCUUCUGCCUUUUCCUUUGCAUUUUCAUUAAUGAAAAUGAUUUAUAUGAAAUAACUGCACUUUUCCUCAUGUUGAUUCAAAUGUAUGUUUUCUCCUUUGAGUCUCCUAGAAGUCUCAUGUAGAACAUCCACAAAAGCUGAACAUUUCAGGAAGCAACACUGGAAAUUAAAUCUGUUGGGUCAACAGCCAUCUGUGCUAUUUCAGGCAGUAACUCUACAUAACUGUUCACUGACUUAACAUGAAAUUUGCUCCUUGUGGUAUCAGUGGUUGCUGAUUUCUUCAUACUUAUAGUUCUUAA